rnacentral:lncRNA from 1 species
UUCUUUUCUUUCCCUGUUUUUUUGGGAGAGGCAGGAUUGUAGGGCAUAUAAUUUCUCACAGGCUUUAUGUGUUUUGUGUUUUCUUACCGGGUUUACAGGGCAUUUAAUUUCCCACAGAUUUUAAGCAUUUUAAGCAAAACACAUAAAAUAAUUAUUUGAAUCUAAAUGUGUUUACAUGUUCAGUGGGGAUCAUUUCUGAUCUGGUAAGGGGGAAGAAAGAGUUUUGUACCUUAGAGGUUGUCCACAAUUCUUAUUCAUUUAGAAGUACAAAGAGUAUUUUUCUGGGUAGAAAUAAAUGGUAAAUAGCCACUCAUUCUCCACCACAAAGUGUCUUUUAAAGUCAAUAUUGAUAUCACAUUUGUUUGGAAAACACAAACUUGUUCCAGGAAAUUAAUAAUGAAUAUGAGCAGAACUACAAGGAAUAUGAGCAGAACGCAAAUUUCACAAUUUGCUUACGCAUGGUCUCAUCCAGGAGCAACGCUAGGUGAAAUGUGGAAAACCACACCCAGCAUCGGAACACACAGAACACGAGUGAGCAGCCUCCGUUCACUGCAAGUACUGAGUCACACUUACCCAGUCCUGGGAUUAGAACUCACCCUCUGAUUCCAGCUGACUCUCCUUCCACAGCUUCACCUUAAUUCAUGAGCUGCAACCCUUCCUAUGCCCACUUCUACAGGCACACUUCAGGUCUUUUCCAAGGUAAAGUGCCAUAUUUAUUAACCAUUUAACAUGUGUCAAACUGUGCUGCUCUUAUUAGAUUCUUAUCUUUAUUCUUGGGUAUGUCACUGUUGAAGUUUUGGGUUGCUGAGCCUCUAACCCAGUUUUCCCCAUAUAUCCUAAGGCCUCUUUAUUGUACAAUUUUGCCGAGCAUUCUGGUUUUUAGAAGGCAACUGUGCAUUAACAGCAGGAUUCACUGCAUUCUAUUGUGAGCAUCAUUUCAUCAAAAUUAUAGCAAUUCAAGUCCAACAUCCAAGAGGUAUCUGCUGGAAACCACCCCUAAUGUUCAGAAUUCUCUUAUUUUAAGCAUUCUGUAUAGCAUUUUACAUUUCUCAAAUGACAGCUCUUGGAAUAAACAUCGAGAAACAAAUGAAUUAUAAACAGCAUUUGAUUAAUAAGCCAUGAAUAUUUAGAAAUGUCAUUUUCAAAAGACAUUAAACAGUAAUUCAGAUCAUGCUACUCAGUUUUAAUUUAGUGAUGUUUACCACUUGGUCAAAAACAAGCACUAGCACUUCAAAGUUUUAAUCUCAAAAUAUUUCCUUGCGACAAAACUACUAAGACAUAUUACCUAAACACCGCUCCUUUAGCUUUUAAUACCACUAUCUUCGUUUAAACUUUGAAGAAAAUCCCGAGACCAUUUUAAAUUACUACGUACAUAAAACAAACAUUUAGCAUAAACCAGGCACUUAUUCAAUGUUAAAUUUUCCCCACUGCAAGCAUAAACAAAAUCAUGUUUCAACAAAUAUGCUCUGACAAAUAAAAAUCUGAAGGCUUUUUCUUGCCUUUAAAAUAUACAACUCAGCACAGUUAAAUAUCUACAAAUGUUGGUGAAAAGUUAAAAUAAAAAUGUAAUUUGCUUCCAUCAUGCUAAAAACCUUAAGAAAAUUAUUCUUUUUCAAAUACAAGAGAGGCAUGAAGAAAAGUAGAAAUACUCUACUACUUAUCUUACUGAAGAGAAUCCACUUGACUGUCUGCCCCUACACCCCAUGUAAAUUAACAUUCAGCAACCAGCUGAAUGAAAUGAGACUGUUCUGAUGUUUUGAUAUUAAAAUACUUCACUAAAAUCUAUUAGAAUCUAAGUGGCUGUUUUUAAAAUAAAGAAAAAGGCAUUAAUUGUAUAAUCACAGAAUUGGUAUUUACUAUAAGAAUUCUUUUUUUCUUGUUUUUUGGUAGAGCCCGACCAAUAUUCCUUUCUGUGACCAUUCUUACAAAACAUUAGCAAAAAAUAGCAAAAAAGAUUUUAAAAGGUACCUGUUUACAAAGGGAGACAACACACAAAUCUGAUAAACAACCGGAAAAGUUUGUCUUUCCCCCUCAACAAGUAUAAAAGCCUUAUCCAGUUUACUUAGUACUUGAAGUAAGCCCCAACUUCUUCAUCAGAUUCCAUUAAAUAAUAUAAACUUUAAGGAAAGCUUUUUAGAUGCCAGCAUGGUAUCUAAUCUUCUAAAGUGCAAAUAGGAAAACUAAAAACAAGUAUUCUUUAUUUGUGGAAUUGUUUUAUAAAACUAUAUAAAAUAAUAGAUAAAUUUAACUGACAACACAAGAAAAAAGCCGAUUUUAAAAAAAAAAACAACCUUCCUUGAAUUUAAUGUCUACUUUAAUACUUAUUUAUAUUAAUAACUUGUAACUAAGCAGUAUAUAAUGGCAUUUUUCUAGGCCAAAUAUUUGUGAUGCAAAAAAAAAAAAAAUCACUGCUGGUUUUGCACCUUACUUGGUAGACAAUUUUAGCCAGCACAAAAGAUGGAAACUACUAGUUUCCAUAGUACUCUAGCAUCUCAGCAAUACAACAGCUAAAGAACGGCAAGUGUAGUAUACUGGUGACAUUAACAUUUUCAGUUCACCAAGACCAAGAUGCCACUUUGCAUACAAGAACAUCAAG